CCUACGGGCGGCUGCAGUGGGGAAUAUUGGACAAUGGGGGCAACCCUGAUCCAGCCAUGCCGCGUGUGUGAAGAAGGCCCUCGGGUUGUAAAGCACUUUCAGUGAGGAAGAACGCCUGGUGGUUAAUACCCAUCAGGAAAGACAUCACUCACAGAAGAAGCACCGGCUAACUCCGUGCCAGCAGCCGCGGUAAUACGGAGGGUGCGAGCGUUAAUCGGAAUUACUGGGCGUAAAGCGCGCGUAGGUGGCUUGAUAAGCCGGUUGUGAAAGCCCCGGGCUCAACCUGGGAACGGCAUCCGGAACUGUCAAGCUAGAGUGCAGGAGAGGAAGGUAGAAUUCCCGGUGUAGCGGUGAAAUGCGUAGAGAUCGGGAGGAAUACCAGUGGCGAAGGCGACCUUCUGGACUGACACUGACACUGAGGUGCGAAAGCGUGGGUAGCAAACAGGAUUAGAUACCCUAGUAGUC
rnacentral:rRNA from 1 species